AAUAUGUUGAAAACAUGUGAAAUUUUUAUGAUGAAAUAUUAUUAUUUCUUUCAACUUAACACCAUCGCCUUACCUUAUCUUUUCCUUAUGCUUCGAAGAAAUGUUUUGAAGAAACUAUAUACGUUCAAGUUUUAUUUAGAAAAACGACAUUUCGAACGUACACCUAACGUGGAAGCACGUUAAUAAUCUGUAACAGGUCGGGUUAUUUAGAUUAAAGUUAGAAACUCGUCGCAUAACUUACCAAGGACCUGUUAAUUUUAACGCUAUUUAAUAUGCGAUACUCCAGAGGGAGAGAGAUAAGAUACGAAAAAUAUGCCGCAGCUAAAUUUCAUCUUAUUUCUUUUCGAGGGAGAAACGUCUUUUACUUCUUUCUUCGAAUAAUAUCAAUGAUUUAUCAAAUGUUAAAUUUGAAUAAUUUUUUAUAUUCCAACGUUCUUUUUAUCCAACUUUUUAUAAAAGAAAGGGAAACGAAUCAAGCUAUCGCAUUACUCACGUCCUCCCGUUACAUUGUUUAUAACGAAAAGAAUAAAUAUUUUUGAACCCACAUACGUCGUUCGACGUAUAAUUAUAGAUAUCUCGCGGAAGAUAUCUCUUUGACAAAACUCGUUUCCCGAUCGUUCACAAUGUCCGAUCGUUUCUCUCUUUUUCUCUCGUCUCUCGCGAUGCGGAGAAUGGAACGAACGAUAGGACGAGAUCGCCCGAGGCUGCGCACUUACGUUUGACAUUUAUCGGAAACGACAUUUGCGUUUCGUACGUUCUUUCGCGCCAAGGAGGUUAACCUGGCGACGAGUAAGCAGUACAAAUUGGAGAUUCGAAGGGGGUAAUGGAAAAUGAUCGGGGAAACGUCGGUGGCGAUGGUGAAAGUGCAACGAAUGGAGUGCAUCUACCCAUUUGAAUUCUGACUUGUAUCGAUCUCGCCGCGUUUCGAUCCAACCGUGCUCGCGAGAAGGCCGAUGGGAUAGGUUAGGUGCACGAGAGCGGUUCGAUUGUCCGUUUUCUGUCGGAAGUUAUAAAAGAAAAAGGAAAAAAUACGUUUUUCUCGUUAUUAUUAUCGAUAGUUUGCGCGAGCAUACAAUGAGAGUAGCAGUGUAUGAUAAUGUGACGUUGAAUCACCUCGCACGAUAACGAAAUUGAAACGAGCAAGUAGAAAAUAGCGAGGAUACUGGGAUUAAAAAAUUGCAUGUUAAUAAAUUUGACGGUGUUGCUAAAUUUUAAAACGAGAUGUGACAUAUUUCUAUUUAUUUUCCACAUAAUGUAUUUAAUUAUCGCGACGUUUGCGAGAUGUAAUAAUUAGAAAAAUUGUCAAACGAUUUUUCAAAAUGUCGCUUUCUACCAACAACCAAUGAUCGAAAAUAGCGAUUACAAUUUAAAUGAGCAUAUUUGGGUUACAAAAAACAUCCUUCUAGUCAAAAUAAGACGUUGCGUCGAUAUCAAAAAUACCAAACAGGUUUUCGAAUUCAUCGAUCUUUGUCAAGGGCUGUCGUUCGUACGAGCGCAGAGUCAAUCAGAAUUGUCAAUGAUGCUUACGAUCAAUUUUGAAUAACGAUACGCGAUCGAUUGAAAAUAUAAAAUAUUUCCUCGAAUUAUCGAAACGUGAAGCAAAAAGUUUUACUUACCAAUUUUUAUAUAAAUAUGAAUCAAUGUAUGACUACUUUAUAUACACACACAUAUAUAUUACAUUUGUAAUUGAAAACUUUUGAUUCUUGACGAAAAAUGCAAAAUUGCAUUUACAUCGUAUAAUAUAUAUUUCGUUAACUUGAUAAA